rnacentral:miRNA from 1 species
UUGCCGUCCCCCCUUCCUCGUCUUUUCCCCUCAGGAGAAGUCGGGAAGGCGGCGGCGG